rnacentral:rRNA from 1 species
AUGAACGCUGGCGGCGUGCUUAACACAUGUAAGUCGAACGGACGCUUUGAGCAAUCGGAGCGUUAGUGGCAGACGGGUGCGUAACACGUGGGCGACCUACCUCAGAGUGGGGAACAACGGACCGAAAGGUUCGCUAAUACCGCAUACGCUCGAUGAUUCAAUUUGUCGAGUAAAGCCCCCUUCGGGAGGCGCUUUGAGAGGGGCCCGCGGCCCAUCAGGUAGUUGGUGAGGUAAUGGCCCACCAAGCCGAUGACGGGUAGCUGUUCUGAGAGGAAGAUCAGCCACACUGGCACUGAGAUACGGGCCAGACUCCUACGGGAGGCAGCAGUGAGGAAUAUUGCACAAUGGACGAAAGUCUGAUGCAGCGACGCCGCGUGGGCGACGAAGGCCUUCGGGUCGUAAAGCCCUUUUAGCAGGGACGAGUGAGGACGGUACCUGCUGAAUAAGUCUCGGCUAACUACGU